rnacentral:misc_RNA from 1 species
GAUGAAGAACGCAGCGAAAUGCGAUAAGUAAUGUGAAUUGCAGAAUUCAGUGAAUCAUCGAAUCUUUGAACGCACAUUGCGCCCGCCAGUAUUCUGGCGGACAUGCCUGUUCGAGCGUCAUUUCAACCAUCAAGCCCCCGGCUUGUGUUGGGGACCUGCGGCUGCCGCAGGCCCUGAAAACCAGUGGCGGGCUCGCUAGUCACUCCGAGCGUAGUAAUACAUCUCGCUCAGGGCGUGCUGCGGGUUCCGGCCGUUAAAAAAGCCUUAUUUACCCAAGGUUGACCUCGGAUCAGGUAGGAAGACCCGCUGAACUUAAGCAUAUCAAUAAGCGGAGGA